GAUGAACGCUAGCGGGAGGCCUAACACAUGCAAGCCGAGCGGUAUUGUUUCUUCGGAAAUGAGAGAGCGGCGUACGGGUGCGGAACACGUGUGCAACCUGCCUUUAUCUGGGGGAUAGCCUUUCGAAAGGAAGAUUAAUACUCCAUAACAUAUUGAUUGGCAUCAAUUAAUAUUGAAAGCUCCGGCGGAUAGAGAUGGGCACGCGCAAGAUUAGCUAGUUGGUGAGGUAACGGCUCACCAAGGCGAUGAUCUUUAGGGGCCUGAGAGGGUGAUCCCCCACACUGGUACUGAGACACGGACCAGACUCCUACGGGAGGCAGCAGUGAGGAAUAUUGGUCAAUGGGUGCAAGCCUGAACCAGCCAUCCCGCGUGAAGGACGACUGCCCUAUGGGUUGUAAACUUCUUUUGUAUAGGGAUAAACCUACCCUCGUGAGGGUAGCUGAAGGUACUAUACGAAUAAGCACCGGCUAACUCCGUGCCAGCAGCCGCCGUAAAAC
rnacentral:rRNA from 1 species